AAAUGAGAAAAAUAUUAAAGGCUGUCUGUCUGUCUCAGGAAAGGCUGGAAGGAUGAAGGGGUGGAGGAGGUAAUAGUUGACGAAGAUUCUGAUGAUGAGCUUGCUGAUUCUGGUACUGAGUUGCUCCAUUUUUCCUGGUUAUGAAUGCAUGUUCCAGUAAUGCAGCUGCAGUCCAUCUCUUCCGAGCCUCUCUUUGCAAACAACAGGCAAUAAAGUGGCGAAACUCCGGGGAAGCAGUGGGCGGGGCCUCUGGUGGCUGAGCCAUACAAAUAGCGCACAUCAAGCUCGCCCAAUCCCCAGGUCUCUCGACAGCAAGAGGAAACCGACCGAGAUAGAAUUCCAAUAUGCUAACCCCAAAG
rnacentral:misc_RNA from 1 species